rnacentral:rRNA from 1 species
UUUGACGUUAGCUGCAGAAGAAGCACCGGCUAACUCCGUGCCAGCAGCCGCGGUAAUACGGAGGGUGCGAGCGUUAAUCGGAAUUACUGGGCGUAAAGCGCAUGCAGGCGGUUUGUUAAGCAAGAUGUGAAAGCCCCGGGCUCAACCUGGGAACCGCAUUUUGAACUGGCAGGCUAGAGUCUUGUAGAGGGGGGUAGAAUUUCAGGUGUAGCGGUGAAAUGCGUAGAGAUCUGAAGGAAUACCGGUGGCGAAGGCGGCCCCCUGGACAAAGACUGACGCUCAGAUGCGAAAGCGUGGGGAGCAAACAGGAUUAGAUACCCUGGUAGUCCACGCUGUAAACGAUGUCUACUUGGAGGUUGUGGCCUAGAGCCGUGGCUUCCGGAGCUAACGCGUUAAGUAGACCGCCUGGGGAGUACGGUCGCAAGAUUAAAACUCAAAUGAA